ACUCACUCAACAGCGUCACCGGCCAGCACCACCAUGCCAGGCCUCAGUGAGGAAUCUACCACCAUCUACAGUGGACCAAGCUCAACUGAAACCACAGUGUUUUCUCAUAGCACCACAACCUCCAUUCAUGUUGAACAACCUACAGCCUUCCCUGGUAGCCUAGGCUCCACCGAAAUAGUGUUACCUGUCACCCUUACCACCACAGACCUUGGUGAGGAAUCAACAGCCUUCCACAGUAGCUCAGACGCAACUGUAACAACACCCUUACCUCCCCACUCCACAACCUCAGCCCUCGUUGGCGAAUCUGCAACGUUCUAUAUGAGCCCAUCCACUAGUUACACAACCCUCUUUCCUGCCAGUUCCAGCACAUCAGGCCUCACUGGGGAAUCUACCACCUUCCACACCAGUCCAAGCUUCCCUUUUACAUUUGCGUCUACUGAAAGCCUGCAAACCUUAGUGCCAGGGUCAUGCCAGGAAGGACAAAUCUGGAAUGGAAAACAAUGCGUCUGUCCCCAAGGCUACGUUGGUUACCAGUGCUUGUCCCCUGUGGAAUCCUUCCUUGUAGAAACCCCGGAAAAACUCAAUGCCACUUUAGGUAUGACAGUGAAAGUGACUUACAGAGAUUUCACAGAACAGAUGAAUGACUCAUCCUCCCAGGAAUACCAGAACUUCAAUAGCCUCUUCAAGAAUCGGAUGGAUGUCGUUUUGACAGGCGACGAUCUUCCGCAGUAUAGAGGGGUAAACAUUCGGAGAUUGCUCAACGGUAGCAUCGUGGUCAAGAAUGAUGUCAUCCUGGAGGCAGACUACACUUCAGAGUAUGAAGAACUGUUUGAAACCCUGGUAGAGAUUGUAAAGGCCAAGAUUAUGAAUGAAACCAAAACAGUUCAUGAUCGUGAUCAUGAUUUCUGCAGAGAGCAAUGCACCCAGAAGGCUGCCAAAGAAUAUGCCCAGUUCUACUAUGUGGAUGUCUUGGAUGGGAAGCUGGCCUGUGUGAACAAGUGCACCAAAGGAACGAAGUCCCAAAUGAACUGUAACCUGGGCAUGUGUCAGCUGCAACGCAGUGGCCCCCGUUGCCUGUGCCCAAAUACAGACACACACUGGUACUGGGGAGAGACCUGUGAAUGGAACAUCGCCAAGAGCCUCGUGUAUGGCAUCGUGGGGGCUGUGGUGGCGGUGCUGCUGCUCUCAUUGAUCAUCCUGGUCAUCUUAUUCAGCAUAUCCCAGAGAAAACUGCACAGGCAACAGUAUGAUAUGCCUCAAGAGUGGCGAAACGAAGGCACCCCUGGCACCUUCCAGAAGACGGCCAUCUGGGAAGACCAGAAUCUGAGGGAGAGCAGAUUCGGCCUUGAGAACGCCUACAACAACUUCCGGCCCACCCUGGAGACUGUUGACUCAGGCACAGAGCUCCACAUCCAGAGGCCGGAGAUGGUAGCAUCUGCUGUGUGAGCCAGUGGGGGCCUCCCACCCUCAUCUAUCUCUGGACAGGAGAGCGGCAAACACAGGGCCCACCACAGACUGCAGUCCCCCAGGGUUGGUCAAGAGGAGGCUGAAGUCGGGCCCUGAAGCCGGUCCUGCUCUGAGCUGACAGACUUGGCCUGUCCCGGGCCUGUGCUCCUGCUGGGGGCUAUAAGGCCUUCCAUCCAGGAGCUCCCAGACUCCCAGAAGCCUCAGCACCCCUGUCUCCUCUUGGGUGACACCCCACUCUGGAAUUUCCCUACCAAUAAAAGCAAAUCUUAAAGCUCAGAAUGUGAAGUGAGAGGUUUCCUUCCCCUCCUUCUGCAGUGGGAGUCAGGUGGGGGGUCAGAGUCCUCCCAGGACUGGCUGCUGAAUCGGUCAUGGAACAAAC
ensembl:lincRNA